CCUGUGUGUGCAGGUUUUUUUGGUCAAAUGUCCAGAAAAGUAGGGCUGCAUUUUGUGUGAUGACUGUUCUUGUUGGCAUUAAACCCUGAUCAGACUUCUCACUAACUUGGGCAUCCUCCAUAGAGUUUGCAGUUUCUUCUUCCCAGAUUGAGGCAGGAUGAAAAGCUGAUUAUUUGGUUAGCCUUCUGGCAUAGUGUGGUGAUGCAUUUAGGAUGCUUUUGACACUAUUACAAUUUCAGGUGGUCACUCAGGAAGAAGCAGCUGGGAUUCAAAUCAUCACUGAAGGUUAAAGCCCUCACAGACAUGAGGACACUGAAGUCCUUCAGAGCAUGGCCAUAGGAAAUGCUGGUCACCAUUUCAGCAGCUCUAAAACUGGAUGUUGCAGGUGUCUCAGGUUGACAGCUGCAAUUUUAGUGAUGCUGUGCAGCACAGGAUGUCCACUCUCAUUACGUUUCAAGGCACAGGAAAUGCAACUCAGUAUCUGAAUGCAUAAGAAGGAUGGAGCCUUUUAAAGUUCAAGGAUUCAAGAAGCCUGUUGACACCGUACAUGCUGGUAUAUAAAAAUAAAUUACAGACUUUAAUAUUUACGUGUGCUGGCUUCCAACCCCCCAAAAGCUUGCACUGAGGAGGUUCACAAAUGGGAAGUGAAGAACUGCCAGGCACUUGGAUCCUUAUUGUGAAGACUGACUGAAGAGAAGCAUGCCAAACACAAGGUGCUGCCUAUAAACCUUUGAAUCAGAAUGGGUAACUACACAAAUGAUAAACAAAAUAAAAAUAUGCUGAGAAAUAUGCAUGUGUUCACUGCACUCAAAAUUAGUCUGUUCAUUGUUUCCCAAGGCCUUAAUUUGCAUCGGAUGUUUAGCAGGAUUCAAAAUCUGACAAAAUAUUAAGGUGGACAACAGGAAGCUCCCAAAGUAUAAACCCAGGGUUUCUACAAAUUCUACUGGAAAGGUCAUACCUUCCUACAUAGUAAGGCAUAAGGCAAUUCCUUAUUGUCAAGAGCAAGGAGAAUUUUCUCCAGAAUAUAUGUUUAUUUCUUUCUAACUUCCUUAAGCUUUCUUAAAACUUCUGCUCACUAAUGGUAUGAUGCUGGAAAUUGUGGUCUCCUGUGGUCUGAUCCAACAUGGUCAUUCCUACAGCUCUAAUCAGGCUGGAUAUUCAAUAAAUAAGUCCUGGGACAUGUAGAAGGAGGAAAGAGACAAAGCAUUCCAGGCCAAGGUCAGAAAGUCCCUAUGAGCUCUCUCUCCCAGAUUACUCACUGUAUUUCCUAUUUUCACACGGCUUACUCUUGCAGACUUUGGCUUGCCUGAUGCCUUUCCAUUUCAUGGGGUUUUUUUCCAGGUAUUGACAAUAGGUGUUUUGCCUUGGAUGACAAGCAUGACAAACUGUAAAGUCAUGUCCUAGACAUUCUGGUACAUACUCAUAUCCUGGUGUGAUCUCAUUUUAAGGAAUGUGAUUGUGAUUUCCAGCGUUACAAGCUGAAAUCAGGAUUUGGUUAUAUCUGCCAUAUACUAUGUGAAGUACUGUCUCUCUCAUAAUUUCAGCUCAUGCCAAUACAUCUUCAUAGCCAAUGCUGGGAAACAUCACCAAUUACUGUGGCUGUUUACAGAGCACAAGAACAGAAUAUUUAAUUUUACCAGCCUCUAAGGACAGCAAAGCUGAAUUUGAACUCUAGUUAAAGUUUUGCUGAUUACUCCUGACCUUUCUGGGACAAAGACAUGAAGGUCACUGGAGUCAUGACUUUUUUCACAUUCUGCUUGUCUUUGUCAUUCCCCUAAUAAUGCGGAGGACUAGAAACAAGAGCUGGGUGGUGUUUUUUUCCCCCUGCCUGGAAAUCUAUUUAGAUUAGUCACCAGGUUUUCCAGUCUACGGUCAUUGAAGGUCAUUUGGUUUACAGCUGAAAUUCUCAAUUGGAACCUCAUCUUGUAAUCAGAACUUAAAACCCAAGCGAGGUUUUGUAUCUCCUCUGAAAGGGUAGGUUGUUGUGUGAUUAGCUUCAGAAUGUUAAAUGGAACUGUCUGUGUAAUGAUGGGUAAUUUUGGGGGGCUUAAAUUGCUCUGUUAGAAGACCUGUCUUGAAUAAUAAUACUGGGCUAUAUUAUAAGGAACAGUAUUCUAGGCUUCUCCUAAAUGCUAAUUCUAUUACACAUUAACAUUUCCUUGGCUGUAAAAUGGCAAAAGGCAGGCCAGCAAGAUGUAAAAAUCUUGCAAAGUGCAUUUUCACUUAUAGACUGCUCCUAAGAGCAGGCCGUUUCCUGAA